UACAUGGGGUGCAAACGUUGCUCGGAAUUAUUGGGCGUAAAGCGCACGUAGGCGGUUCGUUAAGUCGGAUGUGAAAGCCCUCGGCUCAACUGAGGAAGUGCACCCGAAACUGGCGAGCUUGAGUACGAAAGAGGAUCGCGGAAUUCCCGGUGUAGAGGUGAAAUUCGUAGAUAUCGGGAGGAACACCGGUGGCGAAGGCGGGUCUCUGGACAGUUCCUGACGCUGAGGCACGAAGGUCAGGGGAGCAAACGGG
rnacentral:rRNA from 1 species